rnacentral:rRNA from 1 species
CAGCCGCCACGGUAAUACGUAGGGUGCGAGCGUUAAUCGGAAUUACUGGGCGUAAAGCGUGCGCAGGCGGUUUGUUAAGACAGAUGUGAAAUCCCCGGGCUUAACCUGGGAACUGCAUUUGUGACUGGCCGGCUAGAGUAUGGCAGAGGGAGGUGGAAUUCCACGUGUAGCAGUGAAAUGCGUAGAUAUGUGGAGGAACACCGAUGGCGAAGGCAGCCUCCUGGGCCAAUACUGACGCUCAUGCACGAAAGCGUGGGGAGCAAACAGGAUUAGAGACCCCAGUAGUCCCUGUCUCUUAUAC